GCGGUAUCUUUUCAAAAUCUAUAGACUGUGAAGAAAUUUUGUGUAGGAUCUGUAAGUGACUGAAGAGGUAGAUAUAAGAAUUAUUCAGCCGCCUCUUUUUGCCAAUGAACAGAUCAUUCCAGGGGUUCAUCAUAUCAAAAUCAUGACAGUUAUAUGUUUUAUUUCUAAUAACGGUUUUCCUUAGAUGUCAAACAUGAUGAAUUGUGAUUUAAGAC
rnacentral:lncRNA from 1 species